CUGUCCAGCAUUAUCCUCUACCACACGCUCCUGUGAUUUCUGUUCAGUCAAGCAGGAUUUUAUUCUGUUUUUCACAUUUUGGACCAUGCUUCAGGUCUGCACAGACACAUAACAUGCUCCAGCAUAAGAAUUUCCUUUUUACCGUCAACUGGCAGCACACAUGGCAGUUCACAUAGCUUGUGUCAAAGCAAGUCAGAACUCAUUACAAAUUAAAGGGUGACCAUAUAGUGUUUUCUUUAGGCACUCAAUUAAAGGCAGGUGUCUGGCCCCUCAUCAGUUGUAGGUGGUCUUUUCCUCCUGGGUUGUUUUUCUUUUUGUGGUGGUGACUCAAGAGCUUUCUUCACUUUUGAAAUCUAUAAAGCAAGCCAUGAUCAUUUUGCAAUAUUCUCUCUAGUUACAUGUGCAAAAGUUUCCAAGGAACAGUCAGGACUUGGUCACAACUUCAGCAUAAUUCUUGAGUUCAUUUUAUUAUUAUUUUGCAAAUGCCUGCUGAGCUCCUGGAAUACAGAGAAGACCACCUUGAUCACUUAGAGAAUGGGUUCCAAGAAGCUG
ensembl:lncRNA